rnacentral:rRNA from 1 species
UGAGCGUUCGGUGGAUGCCUUGGCAUCAGGGGCCGAUGAAGGACGUGGUGGCCUGCGAUAAGCCUCGGGGAGCCGGCUGACGGGCUGUGAUCCGAGGGUGUCCGAAUGGGGGGACCCGGCACGAGUUAUGUCGUGUCACUCGUACCUGAAUUCAUAGGGUGCGGGGGGUGACGCGGGGAAGUGAAACAUCUCAGUACCCGUAGGAGAAGAUAUUCCGUGAGUAGUGGCGAGCGAAAGCGGAUGAUGGUUAAACCGUGUGCGUGUGAUACCCGGCAGGGGUUGCGUGUGCGGUGUUGUGGGGCGUGUUCUUCCAUCCUCUGCCGGGGGUGGGCGCAGUGAGAAACUGGUGUGGUAGCUGAACCUCCUGGGAAGGGGGGCCGUAGUGGGUGAUAGCCCCGUAGGUGAAACCAUGCUGGCUGCGUGGGUGCGUUCCCGAGUAGCACGGGGCUCGUGGAAUCCUGUGUGAAUCUGCCAAGACCACUUGGCUGCCUGAAUACCUCCUGAUGACCGAUAGCGGAUAGUACCGUGAGGGAAUGGUGAAAAGUACCCCGGGAGGGGAGUGAAAUAGUACCUGAAACCGGGCGCUUACAAGCCGUCAGAGCCUUUCCUUUGUGGGGGUGAUGGCGUGCCUAUUGAAGAAUGAGCCUGCGAGUUAGCGCCGUGUCGCGAGGUUAACCCUUGGGGGGUAGCCGUAGCGAGAGCGAGUCUGAAAGGGCGAGUUAAGUGGCACGGUCUAGACCCGAAGCGGGGUGAUCUACCCAUGGCCAGGUUGAAGCACGUGUAAGAGCGUGUGGAGGACCGAACCCACCUAGGUUGAAAACUGGGGGGAUGAGCUGUGGGUAGGGGUGAAAGGCCAAUCAAACUCCGUGAUAGCUGGUUCUCCCCGAAAUGCAUUUAGGUGCAGCGUCUCGUGGUCCCCGGCGGAGGUAGAGCUACUGGGUGGCUGAUGGGCCCCACAGGGUUACUGACGUCAACCAAACUCCGAAUGCCGUUCGGGUUAUAGCGGGGCAGUGAGACAGCGGGGGAUAAGCUCCGUUGUCGAGAGGGAAACAGCCCAGAUCGCCGGCUAAGGCCCCUAAGCGUGUGCUAAGUGGGAAAGGAUGUGCGGUCGCGCAGACAACCAGGAGGUUGGCUUAGAAGCAGCCAUCCUUGAAAGAGUGCGUAAUAGCUCACUGGUCAAGUGAUCGUGCGCCGACAAUGUAGCGGGGCUCAAGCACACCGCCGAAGCCGCGGACCCAUCACGUGUUCCCUACCGGGUUUGUCCUGGUCAGGGGUGGUGGGUGGUAGGGGAGCGUCCUGCACCGGGUGAAGCCGCAGAGUGAUCUAGUGGUGGACGGUGCGGGAGUGAGAAUGCAGGCAUGAGUAGCGAUACUAGGGUGAGAAGCCCUAGCGCCGAAUGACCAAGGGUUCCAGGGCCAGGCUAGUCCGCCCUGGGUGAGUCGGGACCUAAGGCGAGGCCGACAGGCGUAGUCGAUGGAUGACGGGUUGAUAUUCCCGUACCGGCGAAGCACCGCCCAUGCUGACGCGCGGGUGCUAACCCACGCCCGGCACCACAAUCGCGCCUUCUGGUGGCUUCGGCUGCCUGUUGGUGUGGUGGUGUGGGGUCUGGGGACCCUCCGUGCAGGUAGGCAAGCGUGUUAACAGGGGUGACGCACAGUGGUAGCCUCCGCGGGCCUAAUGGCUUGGCCCGUUCAAGCGAGCAGCCCGACAGCCAGGCAAAUCCGGUUGUCUUCCUUUGAUGGUGAGGGUCAGACGUGAUGGUGACCUGCCCUUCUCGGGUGGGGAAGUAGGGUGAUCCUGGGGUGCCGAGAAAAGCCUCGACGCGAUGGUGCCAGCCGCCCGUACCCUAAACCGACACAGGUGGUCGGGCAGAGUAUGCCUAGGCGCACGAGUGAAUCAUGGUGAAGGAACUCGGCAAAAUGCCCCCGUAACUUCGGGAGAAGGGGGGCCCGAGCCUUGAAGCCCCUUUUUGCGGGCUAGGGGUGAGGGUCGCAGAGACCAGGGAGAAGCGACUGUUUACUAAAAACACAGGUCCGUGCGAAGCCGCAAGGCGAUGUAUACGGACUGACGCCUGCCCGGUGCUGGAAGGUUAAGAGGAACCGUCAACCCCCGUCGUGGGGUGAAGCGGUGAAUUUAAGCCCCAGUAAACGGCGGUGGUAACUAUAACCAUCCUAAGGUAGCGAAAUUCCUUGUCGGGUAAGUUCCGACCUGCACGAAUGGAGUAACGAUUUCCCUACUGUCUCCACCAUGAACUCGGUGAAAUUGCAUUACGAGUAAAGAUGCUCGUUACGCGCAGCAGGACGGAAAGACCCCGGGACCUUUACUAUAGUUUGGUAUUGGUGAUUGGGACGACUUGUGUAGGAUAGGUGGGAGACUGUGAAACGGCCACGCCAGUGGUUGUGGAGUCAUUGUUGAAAUACCACUCUGGUCGUUCUGGUUAUCUAACUUUGGGCCGUGAUCCGGUUCAGGGACAGUGCCUGAUGGGUAGUUUGACUGGGGCGGUCGCCUCCUAAAAGGUAACGGAGGCGCCCAAAGGUUCCCUCAUCCUGGUUGGUAAUCAGGUGUUGAGUGUAAGUGCACAAGGGGGCUUGACUGUGAGACUGACAGGUCGAGCAGGGACGAAAGUCGGGACUAGUGAUCUGACGGUGGCUUGUGGACGCGCCGUCACUCAACGGAUAAAAGGUACCCCGGGGAUAACAGGCUGAUCUUGCCCGAGCGCUCAUAGCGACGGCAUGGUUUGGCACCUCGAUGUCGGCUCGUCGCAUCCUGGGGCUGGAGUCGGUCCCAAGGGUUGGGCUGUUCGCCCAUUAAAGCGGCACGCGAGCUGGGUUCAGAACGUCGUGAGACAGUUCGGUCCCUAUCCGCUGCGCGCGGAGGAAUCUUGAGAAGGGCUGUCCUUAGUACGAGAGGACCGGGACGGACUGACCUCUGGUGUGCCAGUUGUUCUGCCAAGAGCAUGGCUGGUUGGCUACGUCGGGUUGUGAUAACCGCUGAAAGCAUCUAAGCGGGAAGCACGCUUCAAGAUGAGGGUUCCUGCAGAUGAAUCUGGUAAGGUCUCCGGUAGACGACCGGGUUGAUAGGCCAGGCGUGGACGCAUCGUAAGGUGUGGAGCUGACUGGUACUAAUAGACCGAGGACUUACAAAC